rnacentral:misc_RNA from 1 species
GAAUUCAGGGAGAAAGAGGAUGGCCACCGUCACAACUCAAGCUUCUGCUGCCGUAUUCCGUCCAUGUGCAUCAAGAUCGAGGUUUCUCACUGGGUCUCCUGGUAAACUCAACAAAGAAGUGUCCUUUAAACCAAUGCCAUCUUCUUCUGCUGCUUCUUUCAAAGUUGAGGCCAAGAAAGGCGAGUGGUUGCCCGGUUUGCCCUCUCCAGCCUACCUCAACGGCAGUCUUCCGGGCGAUAAUGGCUUUGACCCCCUUGGACUCGCUGAGGACCCUGAGAACCUGAAAUGGUACAUCCAGGCUG